rnacentral:rRNA from 1 species
UACAGAGGUCUCAAGCGUUGUUCGGAUUCAUUGGGCGUAAAGGGUGCGUAGGCGGCGCGGUAAGUCGGGUGUGAAAUCUUGGAGCUUAACUCCGAAACUGCAUUCGAUACUGCCGUGCUUGAGGACUGGAGAGGAGACUGGAAUUUACGGUGUAGCGGUGAAAUGCGUAAAUAUCGUAAGGAAGACCAGUGGCGAAGGCGGGUCUCUGGACAGUUCCUGACGCUGA